AAGAUGGAGGGGACAAAAGGGACCCCUCAGGGGCAGGGUGCCACCCCAGGAGGCCUUAAGUGCCACCAGGUCCCUGACACCUCCUCUGUCCCCUCCCCAGCUGUCCCCAGCCCUGCUGCAGCCACAGGUCACCGUGGUGGCCAUCCUGGGCGAGCUGCUGGACACCCUGCCCAGAUGGGAUGAGGAGAUGAUGCUGCUGUUGCCCCCAGGGUGCCUGCACAGGGACCUGAAGGAAUUCACCUAUUAUCUCCAUGGAACCAUGUGGGAGACUAAGCGUGUCUGGUACCACUGUAGGGACCGCGACAGUAUUGCUCGCCCUGUCAUCUCCCUGAGCCGGGCCCUGGCCGCCUACGAGAGCACGCCAUGGACCACCUGGUUCAAUGUGACAACGGCAGCCAGCGUGUUGCGCCUGUCAGUGCUUGCGGACAGCUGGGCCGAGCUGGCCAGGAAGGCCACCAAGCUCCGCAAUGCCUGGAGGGAGGUGGUGACUGAGGCAGCCUCUGAGGAGGACAAGGCCACCACCCGAGUGAGGAAGCUAGAGGAAAAGGCUGUGAUCCGACAGCUCAGGAAAACAUGGGGGAGCUGGGUCAGGCCCUGGGCAGGGAGGAGGGGGCCGAGGUGAGGAGAGAGGCCAUGGAGGCUGCCAGCGAGGCAACAAGGGCCACCAUGGUGAGACAGCUGAUGAAGGUGGCCCUUGGGCUGCUGGAAUGCUUGGUGGCCGCAUGUGACAAAGCCACCAUGUUCCCCCGGGAGCUGCAGCGCAGGGUUGGGGACAUUGAGGCCGCCCUGGAGGGGACAAAUGAGGUGUCCCCCAAAGUCCCUGAGGAUUUGGUGGUCAAGGUGGCCGAGGCCGAGAGGCUGUGGGAGGCCAACGCCUGCCUGGCCAAAUAUCACCUCCUGGGGACACUUCAAGAGAUCAUCGACUUCUAUUUCACCUGUGGUCCCAGCAGCCCCAGUGCCUGUGUGGUGGCCAAGCGCUGCCAAAGAGCCACUGAGGACAUCCCAAGGCUCCUUCGACCCCCAGAGA
rnacentral:lncRNA from 1 species